AACCCUAAACCCUAAAUCCCAACCCCCAAACCCUUAACCCUAACCCCUAACCCAAACCCUAAACCCUAACCCUGACCCUGACCCCAACCCUAACCCUAAACCCAACCCUAACCCUAACCCUAAUCCCUAAUCCCUAACCCUAAUCCUGAUUCUGACCCUAAACCCUAACCCCUAACCCUACCCCUAACCCUAACCCCUAACUCCACCUUCAACCCUUAACUCUAACCCUUAACCCCUAACCCUAACCCGGGGGGCAGACUGUGAAGGUCUAUGGACUGGACUUUCACAUAGAAAUCAUGUAUUUUUGACAGGGCAUGGUGGCUCACACAUGUAAUCCCAGCACUUUGGGAGGCUGAGGAGGGAGGAUUACGAGGACAAGAGAUCAAGACCAUCCUGACCAACAUGGUGAACCCCAUCUCUACCAAAAAUACAAAAAAUUAGCCAGGCCUAGUGGCGCACGCCUUUAAUCCCAGCUACUGGGGAAGCUGAGGCAAGAAAAUCCCUUGAACCCGUGAGGAGGAGGUUGCAGUGAGCUGACACCACACCACUGCACUCCAGCCCUGGAACAAAACACACCAUCUCAAAAAAAAAAUAAAAAAGAAAAGAAACCAUGAAUUUCCUGAUUUGCAAGUUAUGUGGGGGUCACUUGAAGGAGUGUUUGUGCCUUUGGUGGAACACAAGAGGGUAUUUUGUCUGAAGCUGCAAAUCUGUCACAGCAGUAACUGCUAGGGAAUCGGAGGACAGGAGAAGCCAUACUAAUUGCUGCUCCAAGCUUCCCAGAAAUAUGACGUUACUAGUAAGUCAAAUACUUUUUAAAACAACCCUGUCAAUAUCACGUCAGAAAGGCAGAAACAUCACACUUCAUAACAGGCCAAAUCCCUCGCAAAUCCAGCCCAGCACAGACUGUGAACCCAGCGCCCCAGCGAGAACCAGAGGGUCCCAUCCUUGGUGCUGCAGAGGCUCCCAAGGACAUGUUCGUGUCCCAGGUUCUCGGGGCAGCAAUCAAGAAAGAUUUUACUCACGUGGACGCGGGCUCCAAGUGUCCCAAAGUCAGGGACGUCCCCUGGUGUCUGCUGAGGAGAACCUGACUCCUACCCUCACAGGCGCCUGCGUGCAGGAAAUGGGCGUGACGCCAUGGCCUCCAGGAUAGAAAAGAUGGGACUCGCGCGCCCUCUGCUGGCAGCGGGGAGCACUGCAGGGCCCUCGUGCUCAUGGCGCUGGCGGUGGAUACGCACCCUUAAAGUCAAAAGGCGAGGUGUUCAACGCCAUCUUUCUGAAAAUGCAAACUGACACAGAGCCCACUAGCCCAUGUAUUUCUAUAAAUUAAGGGACAAUUAACCGGAAACCACAGGAAAUAAAAUAAAGAUGGAUGCACA
rnacentral:lncRNA from 13 species